UGUUGUUUUUCGUAGAUCCCAAAGUUUGGGGAGCGAAAAUGAAGGUUUUAGUGGUUACACGUAGCGGCAAAGAACUCAUCAAGGGUGGACUUGAACUCAAUGAGUCGGCUACAGUUGCUGAUCUGCAGGAGGCAAUUCAUAAACGAACCAGAAAAUACUAUCCUUCUAGACAACGACUCACUCUACCUAUUCAACCUGGUUCAAAAGAGAGGCCAACUGUUCUUCACUACCAGAAGAGCCUAAAUGAGUAUACUAAAGGUAGCACAAGCGAAUUGACUGUAGUUUUCAAGGAUCUAGGUCCACAAGUCAAGUAUAGUACUCUUUUCUUCUUUGAAUAUCUGGGGCCUCUGCUACUCUAUCCUAUCUUUUACUACUUCCCAGUCUACAAGUUUUUUGGUUACAAAGAAGAGCGUGUUAUCCACCCUGUCCAGACUUAUGCCUUGUAUUACUGGUGUUUCCACUACUUCAAGCGGAUCAUGGAGACCUUCUUUGUGCACCGUUUCAGCCACGCCACUUCUCCAAUUUCCAAUGUUUUCCGGAACUGUGCCUAUUAUUGGUCUUUUGGAGCUUUCAUUGCUUACUUCGUGAAUCAUCCUCUUUAUACUCCUGUUAGUGAUCUCCAGAUGAAGAUUGGAUUUGGAUUUGGGAUAGUUUGUCAAGUGGCAAACUUGUAUUGUCAUUUAUUGUUGAGAAAUCUUCGAAGUCCCAGUGGUAAUGGAGGUUACCAAAUACCCCGUGGCUUCUUGUUCAAUAUUGUCACCUGUGCAAAUUACACAACAGAGAUCUACCAGUGGUUGGGCUUCAACAUUGCUACUCAGACUGUUGCUGGCUAUAUCUUCAUGAUUGUUGCUGCUAGCAUUAUGACUAACUGGGCUCUUGGAAAGCAUCGUCGUCUGAAGAAGCUCUUUGAUGGAAAGGAAGGAAGACCAAAGUAUCCUCGACGAUGGGUGAUAUUGCCUCCUUUCCUGUAGACCAUUUCCUCGACGAUGUGAGAAAAAGCCCAAGACUUAUUUAUUUAGUUGAUCAUUUUCUAUGAACCUGCAAACUUUUGAAGGUUUAUGUUUCUCACUAAAGGAAGCAAUACUCAGAUUUUUCUUUUGUAUUACUGUUCCAUGUCUUGCCUCUUUUUAAUACCAAAUGAUCUGACUUCCAUGAUAUUUUGUAGUUCCCACUUCUUUGUGAUGGCUUCAAGAACCAUCUUUGUUUAAUCUAUUGUUUA
rnacentral:misc_RNA from 1 species